CCUACGGGGGGCAGCAGUGGGGAAUCUUGCACAAUGGAGGAAACUCUGAUGCAGCGAUGCCGCGUGAGUGAAGAAGGCCUUUGGGUUGUAAAGCUCUUUUGUCGGGAAAGAUAAUGACUGUACCCGAAGAAUAAGGUCCGGCUAACUUCGUGCCAGCAGCCGCGGUAAUACGAAGGGACCUAGCGUAGUUCGGAAUUACUGGGCGUAAAGCGCGCGUAGGCGGUUAUGUAAGUUAAUUGUGAAAGCCCAAAGCUCAACUUUGGAACUGCAAUUAAAACUAUUUAGCUAGAGUUUGAUAGAGGAAAGCGGAAUACAUAGUGUAGAGGUGAAAUUCGUAGAUAUUAUGUAGAACACCAGUUGCGAAGGCGGCUUUCUGGAUCAUUACUGACGCUGAGGUGCGAAAGUAUGGGUAGCGAAGAGGAUUAGAUACCCUUGUAGUC
rnacentral:rRNA from 1 species